GAUGAACGCUGGCGGCGUGCCUAAUACAUGCAAGUCGAGCGAACAGACGAGGCGCUUGCUCCUCUGACGUUAGCGGCGGACGGGUGAGUAACACGUGGAUAACCUACCUAUCUGACUGGUAUAACUUCGGGAAACCGGAGCUUAUCCCGGAUAAUAUCUUGAACCGCAUGGUUCAAUAGUGAAAGACGGUUUUGCUGUCUCUUCUAGAUGCAUCCGCGCCGCGUUAGCUAGUUGGUAAGUUAACGGCUUACCAAGGGAACGCUGCGUAGCCGACCUGAGAGGGGGGACGGGCACACAGGAACUGAGACGCGGUCCAGGCACCUACGGGAGGCAGCAGUAGGGAAUCGUCCGCAAUGGGCGAAAGCCUGACGGAGCAACGCAGCGUGAGUGAUGAAGGUCUUCGGAUCGGAAAACGGUGUUAUGAGGGAAGAACAAAUGUGUAAGUAACUAUGCGCGUCUGGAGGGUACCUAAACAGAAAGCCACGGCUAACUACGU
rnacentral:rRNA from 1 species